UUUUUGUUUACAAAAGUUUUGAUAGAAAUGGUGAGCAUUUACAAUCGGUCAGUGGUUCUCUCAUUUAGAGUGAAGAUGGAUGUACAAGCAAUUGAGCCUAUAAGUGAUAGAAUUGCCAUCACAACUUUGGUGGGGUGGUAGAGGAUUUGGGCCUUUUGGGUAGAGGUAAAAUUUGGUGUAAUUUAAGGGUAGUAUUGUGUAACCUUUCCGUUCAAAAAAAGUGAUAGAAUUUGAUGAAAAAUGGAACUGGACAUUAUACUAAGAUUUGACUACUCAUAACUAAAAUGUUUAUUGUUUGCAUAUUAUAGAUUUGGUGUAAAAAAUUUAUGUCAUAAAUCAUGUAUGGUUUGUGUUUUCUU
rnacentral:lncRNA from 1 species